rnacentral:lncRNA from 1 species
ACCUGUGUGUGUCCAUGUGUCAUGUGUGCAUAUGCAUCGAGUGAUUGUGGCAUUUCCUUGAAUUAAACCUUCGUCUUAUCAAGUUGGUUUAGCUACCAUUGUCCUUGGCGUCUGGUUUGCCACCACUAUAUUCACCAUCUGCUAACUUCACGGCCAUGCAUCCUCACCCAUUUCUGACGUCACCACAACUCUCAUCAUCAUCAAACCUGAGUAUUUGGUGGGCUAGGCUGGCAAAAAAAAGCACGGGUUUUUAGGCCUUGUUUAGAACCGAAACUUUUUGGAUUUGAAUAUUAUAGCAUUUUUAUUUGUAUUUGAUAAUUAUUGUUCAAUCAUGGACUAACUAGAUUUAAAAGAUUUGUCUCGCAAAUUACAGGCAAACUAUGCAAUUAGUUUAUUUUUUAUCUAUAUUUAGUACUCCAUGCAUGUGUUCGCAAGAUUCAAUGUGAUGGAAAAAAUCUUUAAAAAAAUUGAACUUCAGGUGUAACUAAACAAGGUCUUAAUCGAAUUUUCAUAUCCAGUAAUGUCCAAUGGGCGAGGGCAGACAUCUGCUUUCUAGCUAGGCCAAUGUUGUGGUGGCCCCCACUCAUUUUAGUUAAAAAAAAUAAAUAGUUCAAACCAAGAAAAAAAUAGUGAGCUUACUUCACCAUGUCUAGGUUGUGUCCAAUAAUAUAUGUGGGCCAAGGCAAGCCUGGCGGGCUUAGGAUGGCUAGGUCUGUUUUGCUUAAGUUAGCUAAUGACACAUCAUUGCCUUGUUCCUCCACCCUAGCUCCUAUCUCCGCCUCUGGCAUGGUUGCCUCCCUAGAACCCCUUUCUAAGGACACCAAGCAUAAUAUGACCCAACAACACCCUCAAACCCAAAGGGGUUGCCUACAAUGUGGAGAGCAUCUUCUGAAAUCAAGAUUGAUUUUUAGGCACAUGUAGCAUAAGAGAUGUGUAAAAAAAAUAUUUACACUAAAUGCUUCAAAAUAGUACACUCUGAGCUCACCAAGACUAUGCAUACACUGUACAGGAUCAUAUAGCAAUGGUCAUUGUCUAGUUCUAUGUACAUGAAAAAAAAAGAGCUAUGGUUAAUGGAUAAGACAAUCAUAUAUGCUAGGAGAACCCCAGUAGGGGGGCACCAUAAUAACUCCAAAGUCCAAGGUUUGCCUGAGUUGGACCUCUAGAGGAUCUCUUAAGGCUCUGACUACUAAGGGGAGCCCUAAGUAGCGCAAGGAUCUCAUUGGGUCUCCGAAAGCAAACCUAUGCCAAGACAUUGAGCCAUGGGCUCUAGAGUCCUACUUAUCCCUUAAGAAAUAGGGAGGGACGAAGAACUAGCAAUCGAUGUUUACAAGUAGGUCACCACUCACCACCCCCUACUAUGAGUUAACCAAUGACAUAAUGGCGUGUUGAUCACUAUUGGAAAGGUCGUCUCGAUCAGGAUUGAAAGGAAAUAACCUUGCAACCCUUGAAUAAUAUAACAAAGAAAUAGUGGUGAUGGUGGUGGUAAAUAGAGUGGCAUAAUCAUAGAGAAGGUUUGUGAUGGUUCCUAGUAGACGCAGGCAAAUUUGGCUUGGUAUGUGGCAUCAAUAGCACCGGGCUUGGGCAGAGUUAGCCAAUACCAAAAGACCCAUCUUGAAACUAUUAUAGUACCAAUUAGGCUUUUUUGUCUAUACCAGGCGGACCUACCAGGUCCGGUAAAAAGUACUUAUAUCUAGACACAUAAUUUUGACCGAAGUAUUCUUUUGUCUACCUUAGCUUGACCCACAAAAUACCCAAAGUGUAAUUCCUACUAUAUCAGUUUCCAAAAUUUUAGGUUUUUGGGCACUGUAGUACUUUCGUUUCUAUUUGACAAACAUUAUCCAAUCAUGGACUAACUAAGUUCAAAAGGUUCAUCUCGUAAUUUAUAGGCAAACUGUGCAAUUAGUUUUUGUUUUCAUCUAUAUUUAAUACUUCAUGCAUGUGCCGCAAGAUUCGAUGUGAUAAAAAAUCUUGAAAAUUUUUGCAAAGUAAACAAGGCCUAAAAUGAAAGGACAUGUGCAAAUACUUUUUGAUUAAAAAAAAGAGAGAGGUGACUAAUAGAUUUGACUGAAACCUGUAGUCCAUGAGUCCAUAAGUGUACUCUGCGGGAGAGCGGGGCCGGUCCAUUCUGAGGGUGAAAAAUCAUUUAAAAAUAUAUGUCUCUACCUUAUUAUUUAAUGUUUGGAUCGAUAUAUAUGAUGCCCAAGGACCAAGGUGCCUACUGCGUAGAGUCCCUUGUUCAUCAGCAAGAAGUGUCAGAAAACAGCCGGCGACACAGUUGAGGCAGAAGAAGCUUCUCUCGUCCUGGUGUUUGAGUUUCAGUAGGCAGCAUGGCGCAUGCUCAAGAAAUUCAGCUCCAGAUCAGAGGUACUAAAAUCAUUUGCCUUCUCUUCUUCCUGGUUGCUUUUGUUGUGCCUUAUCAUGUGUAGAUUUUAAAAACAAUUCUUGAAUUUCCAGAGUGGUUCUUUCAUGUGCCUGUUUUCCCCCCUGAUUGGAGAGUUCUACUUCUAUGUUCAUGCAUGGUUGGAAACUGCUCAUCCUUGAAUUAUUGAUGCAUCUGAAAGGUCCAGCUUAGACUGUUCUUGUACAGUCUGCUUUGCCGUCCUGAGCUAGCAAAGAUUGUAGGAAACAACGUUCUGGCAGUAGGGGCUUCGGCCCCUCUAGAUUCGUCAAAAAAAACAAUGUUCUGGCAUUGAGAUACUCUCCCCUCAAGAUCUCAAUCUUUUUCUUUUUAUAAGUUGGCCAGUUAAAAAUGUUUCUUUAAAAAAAAAGAAAAAAGAAAACAGAGUAGCUUUCCGCCUGUCACUGAAAAAAUAUAAAUAUAUAAACUACAGUACAGCAAUUCCUGCAUGGUCCACCCUAUCACCAUUGAAUUCGGUAGUUGAUUGGUGAAAGCAUACUGAAACGGGAAGUAUUCAGUAUUAACCUAGCCAUGUCGUAUUAAUACUGCACGAGGUCGUGAGGGGGAUUGUUCCACCAAGAAAUAAAUGGAGAAAUAAUAAUAAAUUUUGAUUGAUUCUUCUCUUCUCUUUUAUUUGUCCAGCUGAUUAACUGAAAACUUUAAUGUGCGACUGUAGAGAUUGAAAAAAUAUUUUGAUUUAAAAAACGAUUACUGCUGGUGUCAGAUUGACUGAAACGAAAAAAUUAUCUCUCGCAAAAGCAGAUCCAGUGCUCAUUUUACAUUUUAUAUGUUGGUACCAAAUUUGCUUCUUUUUCGUUUCCAUUAUUGCAGUACUCCGUCCGUAGUACUACUAACUAUACGACCGCAUCUUUGUUUUCUUUUCGUUGUAAUUGCACAAGGCAUUCCGGACAAGGAAUCCGUCCACGAAGACGCCGGUGAUGAACCCAAGGCCGACACGCGGUGGUCCACGAGAGUCAGCUUCCGAUGGUGGAUGACAGUGGUGGUGGACAUGCUCAUGGUUCUCUGUGGGACGACCGUGGCCACCCUCCUUGGCCGCCUGUACUACAACUCCGGCGGCAACAGCAAGUGGAUGGCCACUCUCACGCAGUCUGGUGGUUCGCCGCUUCUGGUCGUCCCGCUCCUCAUGACGCCGGCGUCCUCAGCGGACGAGCGCCGGCCGCCGGCGUCCAAGAUGUUUGCCGUGUACGCGGGCGUCGGGGUCAUGAUCGGCUUCGACAACCUCAUGUACUCGUACGCGCUGCAGUACCUGCCGGUGUCCACCUUCUCGCUCGUGGCCGCGACGCAGCUGGGCUUCAACGCCAUCACCUCGCGCCUCAUCAACGCGCAGCAGUUCACGGCGCUGAUCCUCAACUCCGUGGUCGUGCUCACCUUCUCCGCCGCGCUUCUCGGCGUCGGCUCCUCCUCCGACGAGACCUCCAGCGACGUGCCGCGCGGCAAGUACCCGGUGGGGUUCGUCCUCGUGCUGGCGGCCUCGGCGGUCUUCGCGCUCAUCCUGUCGCUCUUCGAGCUCAGCUUCGAGAAGGUGAUCCGGGUGCGGACGGCGCGGUGGGUGCUGCGGAUGCAGAUGUACACGAACCUGGUGGCGUCGGUGGUCUCCGUGGUGGGGCUGCUCGCGUCGGGGGACUGGCGGACGAUCCCGGGGGAGAUGGCGUCGUUCAAGGACGGGAGGGCGAGGUACGUGCUCACGCUGGUGGGCACGGCGGUGUCUUGGCAAGCGGCGGCAGUGGGCGUGGUGCGGCUGAUCAUGAGGGUGUCGUCGCUGUUCGCCAACGUGACGUGCACGCUGGCGCUGCCGCUGGUGCCGGUGUUCGCGGUGGUGCUGUUCGGGGACAAGAUGACGGGCAUCAAGGUCGUGGCCAUGCUCAUGGCGGUGUGGGGGUUCCUCUCCUACAUGUACCAGCACUACAUCGACGGCCGGCGGGCCGGGAACGCCGAGUGCCGCGUCUGCGCCACACGCACGGCAAGCGACACGCUCUUGCCCGCCUGAGGCUGAUCAAUGCUUACAUAUAUUCUGGUAUGUGCACAACAGCACAAGGCAUACAUUCAAGUACCCAACGAUCUAUUGUAUUUGUAGUCUCUGCCAGUCUAUUGGAAUAAUAACGAAUAGCAAGAUGCCUAGAGAUAGCAAUCAUUUUAAGGAAAAAAAAAACAUGCAAACUAGGUAGCAUUUUAUUAAAAAUACUAAUAAAUUGUGAAAAUUUCAGUUUGCUAAAAUUUUUCUGUGUCCCCGUCUCGUCCAGAAUCGGUCCCUCCGUCCGUUUAACAGAGAAAAAGAAAAUAGAAUAUUUUUUAGGGUUUAGGAUUUAGUGUUUCUUCUUUACGUUUUCUAUCAGCUCUGGCCUUGGCCGUCCACUUGUAGAAGAAAAUGAUUUUUUUUUCAUAGUUCCCAAUACAAAAUCUUCUAUAUCCUAUUAUUUUUUUUCUUUUAUUCUUUAAUUUGGCUAAAAAUUAAUACAUACGUAGUAAUUCAUAGAAAAUCUAAAAAUUACAAAACAAAUUUUGUUCAGCUCUAUAUGUAGAUCCAUGAAGUAAACAAAAAAUAGGUGCAAAGUGUUUGUCCUAUUAAUUUAUUUUUCUUUUAUUCUUUAUAUCGGCUGAAAAUUAAUAAAUGUGUAGAAAUUCAUAGAAAAAUCUAAAAAUUACAAAACAGAAUUUGUUCAGCUCCACAUAUGUAGAUCCAUGUAGUAAACAAAAAAUAUCACAAAUUUUAGUUUUUUUUUUUGCUGAAGAUGCUUGCCUAUGCUUUUUAGUGUAAAAUUGAAAUUGUAGUUAUCUUGCUCCAAUUAUUAUAAAAAUUUUAUGGUAGCCUAUUUAAUGUGAUGCUUGAUUUGUGGUAAAAGUUUUAGCACCAUUCGUGCAUAUCUCACUGAUUUACUAAUUUACUAAAUUUAUGCUUGCUAAGUAGUUUAGCAUCAAUUUAAGUAUGUAAAAAUAUAAAAAAGAUGCUUCCACUACCUUUGCACAAUGUGUUGUUGUAUCAUAUGAACACUUCAUAAGCCCAUGUGUUUAUAGUCUACAUACAUUUAACUGAUAUAUCAUAUUUUAUAGGAAUCCUAAUCUAAAUAAAAAAAUAAAGCUAGCAACAAACUUCUCAUGUUUUAAUAUAAUACUAUUUUUAUUAUUAAAUAAAUAUGUCUCCAAGCUGCAUAAUAUUGUAAAUAUUAACUAUCUCAUACCAUAGAUGUCAUGGUUAUCAAUAAAAUAAACUAUGGACUUUAAAUUUUAUAAAAAAGAUAAAUAUAAAUAGAUAUGUAACAUUAUGUCAUCACUUUUUAUGAUCAUUUGAUGUUUUUCUCCCGUUGCAACGCACGGGCAUAUUUGCUAGUUAAAAAUAAAAAAAGACACCCAAAUUCGUCUUCGACGAGGACUUACCCUUGAAUAAUGAUCUAAGUAUACAUCCACACUCUCAACCAAUUAAACUAGGCCUUGUUUAGUUCCAUUUUUUUUUGGUUUUAGGUAUUGUAGUACUUUUAUUUUUAUUUGGCAAAUUAUUGUCCAAUCAUAGACUAACUAGGCUCAAAAAAUUCAUCUCGCGAUUUACAGGUAAACUAUGUAAUUAGUUUUUGUUUUCAUCUAUAUUUAAUGUCUAAUGCAUGUGUCGCAUGAUUCGAUAUGACGGGAAAUCUUGAAAAAAAAAUAGUUUUUGGUUGAACUCAACAAGGCCCUAAUUCAGCAUCCUAAGUCUAGUAAACACCCACCCACGUUCCUGUGUCCAUAAUCAUUGCCUUCCAAGGUACGGCCUGGCAAAAUUUAACUUUGGUUGUGCCUCCUUUUGCAGCAAGUACUAGGACUAGGGUCUGAUCCAACGUGUUGCUCUAAAGACAAUUUGUAAAUUAGAUUUGUAUUGAUGCUUGAGGUACUGAAAGUCUGAAUCAAUGGAGGUUAGAGCCAUAUAGUCGGUAGGUAAGUAGAUAGCUAGCGUCAACAACACGUACAGAUUGAUAGCUUGAUGCUAAGAGAGACUGGAUCUUGGAAAGGUUGUCAUGGAAUGGAACCGAAACUGGUGAACUCAAUUUUUCUAUUACACGAGCGAAACAACUUGGCUGUAAGAGAGACUAGACCUUGUACGUGCAAGAUUACGGUGAAUUUUUUUAAAAAAAUUGGGUAAACUAAACAAAACCUGAGUACCCAUUUGCCGAUGCGAAAGCCCUGAGUGGACGAUGGCCCCGCUGCACAAAGAUCUCAUGUACGUUGAAGAGUCCAUAUUAACAAUUCGUCUGGGCUUUUUACGAGUAGAUAUAUGAAGCCUUCGUAUCUGGCCCAACUCUUUAACUGGUUUCCAUAUGGGCCUAACGCAUUAACUGGUUUUGCCUAGCUAAGCCUCAAAGGCCCAUCAUCUACUAAGGCCUAGCUAAGUCUGUUAAUUGUGUGUUAAACCAAAGUACCAAACACAAUGGUGGGAGAAAAGCAGUCAAAAUGAAUGCCUGCGAUGCAAGGGAGAUGGCAUACUACCUCGUUCUUACGAGUAGUUCCUACCGAUGAAGCAGACUCGGGUCUGGUUUCUCUCGCUAAAUUUUAGCUAGUUAAGAUAAUGUUUGGUUGUUGGCCAUCAUCUACCACAACUAACUUUAGGUAAGUGUGGCAACUGGCAAACCACAAAAAGUGUGGCUAGCAAAUUGGUUGCCACACUUUACCAUAUCUAAAAGAAUCUUGUCACACUUUUUAACUCUAUGACGUGUGGAGCCUAAAAGAAUCAUGCCUAAACUUAGUUAUCAACCAAACACUUGCCUAAAGUAAAGUGCGGUAAACUGUGGCUAGCAACCAAACAACCCCUAAAUUUGUAAAAAAUACCAACUAAAAGGAGCUAAAAUAGUUUAGUUCUACUAAUCAUCUAAAAGUAGCUAGAAUAAUUCUAGCUGGCAAAUUUAGUAAGAGAAAACAAACCUUUAUCUUAGUCCAGCAGAAACGAGACGACAGCUGAGGCGGGCACGCAGAAGCAACUGCUUCGCGGCGUGCUCACUCCUCCUAUAUCCGAUCCGCCGCUACGAAAGACGUCUUCACGUAUACGAAGUGCUUCAUCGUACAUAUAUGGCACGGGCGCGUGCAAAAGUGCAAUGUGCAUGCAAUGCUGAUGCCUGAAAGACACCUAACGAGAUGUAUACUGCCAGCGCCGCUGACAAUAAUCGUUCAUCAAUGUUGAAAACGUCAGAAACUCUUGGAAGUCUUCCUAGUAGCAUAAAACUGACGAGAAGGUCGAUACAUAU